UACAGAGGCCUCGAGCGUUAGGCGGAAUCACUGGGCUUAAAGCGUGUGUAGGCGGACUUCUAAGUACCUUGUGAAAUCCCACGGCUUACCCGUGGAACGGCUGGGUAUACUGGUUGUCUUGAGCCAGCUAGGGGCGAGCGGAACAGACGGUGGAGCGGUGAAAUGCGUAGAUAUCGUCUGGAACGCCGAAGGUGAAAACAGCUCGCUGGGGCUGCGCUGACGCUGAGACACGAAAGCCAGGGGAGCGAACGGG
rnacentral:rRNA from 1 species